AACGAACGCUGGCGGCAUGCCUAACACAUGCAAGUCGAACGAUUGCCUUCGGGUGAUAGUGGCGCACGGGUGCGUAACGCGUGGGAAUCUGCCCUUAGGUUCGGAAUAACAGCUGGAAACGGCUGCUAAUGCCGGAUGAUAUCGCGAGAUCAAAGAUUUAUCGCCUGAGGAUGAGCCCGCGUUGGAUUAGGUAGUUGGUGGGGUAAAGGCCUACCAAGCCGACGAUCCAUAGCUGGUCUGAGAGGAUGAUCAGCCACACUGGGACUGAGACACGGCCCAGACUCCUACGGGAGGCAGCAGCGGGGAAUAUUGGACAAUGGGCGCAAGCCUGAUCCAGCAAUGCCGCGUGAGUGAUGAAGGCCCUAGGGUUGUAAAGCUCUUUUACCCGGGAAGAUAAUGACUGUACCGGGAGAAUAAGCCCCGGCUAACUCCGUG
rnacentral:rRNA from 1 species